GCAAAGAGCCGGACAUGACUGAGCGACUUUACUUUCACCUUCAUUGAGAAAAAUAUUUUUCCCUCUACAAUCCAUUAUAAUUGAUCUUCCUUCUCAACUGAAGAUAUGUCAGAAAACUGGACUUAACAGCUCUAGGCGAUAGAUUUAUUAGAUUCUGGCCAGAAUUUUCUAUAAAUAUGCAGAAUACAUCAUGCAAAAUUCUGGGCUGGGUGAAGCACAAGAAAGCUGAGUGCUGAAGAAUGGAUGCUUUUGAACUGUGGUACUGGAGAAGAGUCUUGAG